AGAGUUUGAUCCUGGUUCAGAGCGAACGCUGGCGGCAGGCUUAACACAUGCAAGUCGAGCGGGCGUAGCAAUACGUCAGCGGCAGACGGGUGAGUAACGCGUGGGAACAUACCUUUUGGUUCGGAACAACACAGGGAAACUUGUGCUAAUACCGGAUAAGCCCUUACGGGGAAAGAUUUAUCGCCGAAAGAUUGGCCCGCGUCUGAUUAGCUAGUUGGUGAGGUAACGGCUCACCAAGGCGACGAUCAGUAGCUGGUCUGAGAGGAUGAUCAGCCACAUUGGGACUGAGACACGGCCCAAACUCCUACGGGAGGCAGCAAUGGGGAAUAUUGGACAAUGGGCGCAAGCCUGAUCCAGCCAUGCCGCGUGAGUGAUGAAGGCCCUAGGGUUGUAAAGCUCUUUUGUGCGGGAAGAUAAUGACGGUACCGCAAGAAUAAGCCCCGGCUAACUUCGUGCCAGCAGCCGCGGUAAUACGAAGGGGGCUAGCGUUGCUCGGAAUCACUGGGCGUAAAGGGUGCGUAGGCGGGUCUUUAAGUCAGGGGUGAAAUCCUGGAGCUCAACUCCAGAACUGCCUUUGAUACUGAGGAUCUUGAGUUCGGGAGAGGUGAGUGGAACUGCGAGUGUAGAGGUGAAAUUCGUAGAUAUUCGCAAGAACACCAGUGGCGAAGGCGGCUCACUGGCCCGAUACUGACGCUGAGGCACGAAAGCGUGGGG
rnacentral:rRNA from 1 species